GUAAAAUAAUUAAUUACGGUCAUGUCAAUCAUGUUAUAUACUUGGGAUACUGUACCGCGUUCAACCAGUUAGCAAGUCAGAAAUGUCAGUUUCCUAGUACCGACUAGCACUUGAAUGCAGUAUUAUGCUGGCUUGACAUUCUCGUGGGAAAUGGGAAGUUGUAACUCCAACGUGAUUGUGUUCAAGUGCUUUUGAAGUCGGAACAAUUCUUAAACCUUUAAGAUUAGAAAAUGAUGUUGCCAAUUUCCCACUUGGAGGGUCAUUCAAGUGAAAACGUCCCAGUCGGAACGAGGAAUUUCCGAGAACUCCGACUUGUCCAGCCUUCAUACCCAUUCACGACCACCGCGGAUCGUACGAGAAAAUAACGGAAAACUGACCCAAGAUCAGUACUGUACAUAGACAA
rnacentral:lncRNA from 1 species